rnacentral:rRNA from 1 species
UACGUAGGUGGCAAGCGUUGUCCGGAAUUAUUGGGCGUAAAGCGCGCGCAGGCGGUCCUUUAAGUCUGAUGUGAAAGCCCUCGGCUCAACCGAGGAGGGUCAUUGGAAGCUGGAGGACUUGAGUGCAGAAGAGGAAAGUGGAAUUCCAAGUGUAGCGGUGAAAUGCGUAGAGAUUUGGAGGAACACCAGUGGCGAAGGCGACUUUCUGGUCUGUAACUGACGCUGAGGCGCGAAAGCGUGGGGAGCAAACAGG